rnacentral:lncRNA from 1 species
AAUAAAUAAAUAAAUAAAAAUUUAAAAAAACUAAAAAGCAAGCAACAACAACAACAAAUUACACUAAUUGUCCCCCAAAUUACCUUUACAGGCCCAGCAUCCAAUUCAGUCGCCUUCAAGGAGUCUCUUCAGUCUAAUUUAUUCUAGAACAAUUCUUCAGGCUUCCCUUCUCUGGCCAAGAUUUUUGAAAAAUACAGGUCAAUGACUUUGUAGGUUGUCUUCAGUUUGGAUUUGUCUGCUGUGUCCUCAUGAUUUAUGCAUCUCUGGCAGGAAUACCACAGAAACGAUGCGACAUUCUUCUCAGUGUACCAUAUUAGGAGUCACACAAUGUCAACUUGUCCCAUUACUGCUGAUGUUAAUGUUUACCACUUGGCUAAGAUGAUGUCUGCCAGGUUUCUCCACUGGAAAGUUAACAGUAUUUAGUACGUGUUAAGUGAUGAGUAAUGAAUAAAUAUUUCAUAGGGAGAUGUUCUGAGAGUAUAAAAAUAUCCUGUUCCAUAUCAAAGUUGCUUCACCCAGUUUCAACCCAAAUCAAUUACUACUACGAUGGUUGCCAAGUGAAGAUUUUCCCUUUUUUUAUUUUUAUUUUUAUUUUUUUAAGA